rnacentral:lncRNA from 1 species
AGGAGGGUCCCCACAGACCAGGCAGACCAGAUGGUGAUGGCUUUAGUCUGGGCCACAGCAGCCUGUGCCCCUCAGUCUGCCUUUUCCAUCUCAGGAAAAGCCCCACCCUCCCAUCCACCAGGGGCACUGGUUUCUGCACCAGCUGCCUCCCCCUCUCCAGUAAUGGCCUUUGCUUUGCCUUGGAGGAGCCCACCCCUGUUGGACGCAGAUGAAGAUGCCAAGGGGAGCCUGGCUGACCAUGGAGCCAUCAUGGAGGGAGGCAGAGCUGAGGGCAGGGGGAGGUCCCAGCUGCAUCACAGGAGCCCCUGGAUCCAGCCACACCUGAAGGCAGGGAAGCAUGCAGAGCCUCGUUAUCCUAAUUAAGGAAGCCCCGGAAAGGAGAGCCAUUAAGAGAAGUGACAUUUUCCUGGACGUCUGUCCUGAGAGCUUUCCAUCCCUCCCGGAUGCUCCGGGUCUCUGAGCACCCCAGCCUGUGGGUUCUGACAGGACUUCCAACGUCGCACGGUGGGACUCUGGACAGGGUCCUCCCUCUCCAUCUUCCCCUCGCUGGGACCCAGCACGGCACAGGAGGGGCGGCCAACACCAUUUAGACAUCAGAACUGUCCAGAGUGUUCUGCCCUCUGUCUUAAGUCACGACCCCGGAUUCCCCAGGCAGCCACACACAGCGGUCUACACCGGGAGAAAGUCGCCGUGAGAACCGUGGCACCGCAGGAGGCUGUGCGUGUUUGCUUUU